GUUUUAAUAGUUUAAAUAAAAUAUUGGUCUUGUAAAUCAAAGAAAAGAAUUUUUCUUUUAAAACU
rnacentral:tRNA from 2 species